UGAGUGUAGUCCAUGAGUUCAUACACAAAUAGACUCAACACUACCUAAGCAUGCUUUUAUCUUUCAUCUUUCAUAAUCAUAUUAUGAAUAUCCGAAUAUGUUAUGUGACACUCACUCCAUCUAGUCUUCUGUAACACUAUAAUAUUCUUCUGAUAUAUUCUUUUUGAUGAAUUCUUCUUUUGU